rnacentral:lncRNA from 1 species
UCCUAAAUUGCACUUUGAUUUUAUGAUGCAGGCUCGACACACUCCCAUCUGGAGAAGGGCACUGAAAUAAGGACAUUGACUGCUUCGCCCUGCCUGUGUGAGACACUGUGUGCACUGGAAGGCUAUGAGGAAGUCUGGCUUUCUGAGGAAACAACAAAGGCUUUUGGCAUCCAGCAGCCUUCCUGAAAAUCAUUUCCAGGGCAUGUGCGGGUCAUCCAGAACAUGGAACCAAGGAAGGAAGAAAGGAUAUGAUGUCACCAAAUAAAUGCUAGAACCUCUGCAUGGGAAAAAAUAAUCAGAG